CUCCUGACCUCAUGAUCCACGUGCCUUGGCCUCCCAAAGUGCUGGGAUUACAGGCGUGAGCCACUGCGCCCGGCCCCUAGCACUCAUCCUAAUCAUACAUUUACUUUGUCUUUCUGCCAGACUGCAGAGUCUGAGAGUAAAUGCUAUGUUUUCACCUUUAUUUCCCCAGUUCGUGGCAUAUUGUGGGCACUUGCCAUCAUCAAAUAAACCUCUGGAUUAUGAUAUUACAAACAUGAAGAUGAUGAGCACUCAACAAGUAUAAAUGAAGCGAAGAGACAGGGAGCAAUCCAAUGGGUAAUAAAAAAGGCAGCCUGGACUGUUGUUGCUGUUUUUGAAAUUUAAGCUGGUUUUCAAUUAAAUGUAAAUGGUCCAGGACUGUAAAUGUUGAACAUUUUUUACCAUGUAAUUUACAUUUUAGCCUUACUUUUUUUUUUUUUUUUGAUGGUUUACAUUUUCCCCAUGGAAAGCAGCUAUGUCAUGUGGGUACGAUUCAUGAUGGUAACAUCUGGGUGUAUGGUUUUAUUUUGGUUUGUAUUAUGUUCAGAAAGCAGGAUGCCAGAAAUAAAGAGUGGUUUGUAAUG